rnacentral:tRNA from 1 species
GCCGUGGUGAUGCAACUGGCAGACAUGGCUGACUCAAAACCAGCCUCCUGUGGGUUCGAAUCCCACACACGGUA